UGGCGAACGGGUGAGUAAUACAUCGGAACGUGUCCUGUAGUGGGGGAUAGCCCGGCGAAAGCCGGAUUAAUACCGCAUACGCUCUGCGGAGGAAAGCGGGGGAUCCUUCGGGACCUCGCGCUACAGGGGCGGCCGAUGGCCGAUUAGCUAGUUGGUGGGGUAAAGGCCUACCGAGGCGACGAUCUGUAUCUGGUCUGAGAGGACGACCUGCCACACUGGGCCUGAGACACGGCCCAGACUCUACGGGAGGCAGCAGUGGGGAAUUUUGGACAAUGGGCGCAAGCCUGAUCCAGCAAUGCCGCGUGUGUGAAGAAAGGCCUUCGGGUUGUAAAAGCACUUUUGUCCGGAAAAGAAAACCUCGUGGUUAAUACCCGUGGGGGAUGACGGUACCGGAAGAAUAAGCACCGGCUAACUACGUGCCAGCAGCCGCGGUAAUACGUAGGGUGCAAGCGUUAAUCGGAAUUACUGGGCGUAAAGCGUGCGCAGGCGGUUCGCUAAGACAGAUGUGAAAUCCCCGGGCUUAACCUGGGAACUGCAUUUGUGACUGGCGGGCUAGAGUAUGGCAGAGGGGGGUAGAAUUCCACGUGUAGCAGUGAAAUGCGUAGAGAUGUGGAGGAAUACCGAUGGCGAAGGCAGCCCCCUGGGCCAAUACUGACGCUCAUGCACGAAAGCGUGGGGAGCAAACAGGAUUAGAUACCCUGGUAGUCCACGCCCUAAACGAUGUCAACUAGUUGUCGGGUCUUCAUUGACUUGGUAACGUAGCUAACGCGUGAAGUUGACCGCCUGGGGAGUACGGUCGCAAGAUUAAAACUCAAAGGAAUUGACGGGGACCCGCACAAGCGGUGGAUGAUGUGGAUUAAUUCGAUGCAACGCGAAAAACCUUACCUACCCUUGACAUGUAUGGAACCCUGCUGAGAGGUGGGGGUGCCCGAAAGGGAGCCAUAACACAGGUGCUGCAUGGCUGUCGUCAGCUCGUGUCGUGAGAUGUUGGGUUAAGUCCCGCAACGAGCGCAACCCUUGUCCCUAGUUGCUACGCAAGAGCACUCCAGGGAGACUGCCGGUGACAAACCGGAGGAAGGUGGGGAUGACGUCAAGUCCUCAUGGCCCUUAUGGGUAGGGCUUCACACGUCAUACAAUGGUCGGAACAGAGGGUCGCCAACCCGCG
rnacentral:rRNA from 1 species